rnacentral:rRNA from 1 species
GACGAACGCUGGCGGCGUGCUUAACACAUGCGAGUCGAACGGAAAGGCCCUGCUUGCAGGGUACUCGAGUGGCGAACGGGUGAGUAACACGUGGGUGAUCUGCCCUGCACUUCGGGAUAAGCCUGGGAAACUGGGUCUAAUACCGGAUAGGAGCCAUUUUUAGUGUGAUGGUUGGAAAGUUUUUUCGGUGUAGGAUGAGCUCGCGGCCUAUCAGCUUGUUGGUGGGGUAAUGGCCUACCAAGGCGGCGACGGGUAGCCGGCCUGAGAGGGUGGACGGCCACAUUGGGACUUAGGUCCGGCCCAGACUCCUACGGGAGGCAGCAGUGGGGAAUAUUGCACAAUGGGCGCAAGCCUGAUGCAGCGACGCCGCGUGGGGGAUGACGGCCUUCGGGUUGUAAACUCCUUUCGCUAGGGACGAAGCUUUUUGUGACGGUACCUAGAUAAGAAGCACCGGCUAACUACGUG